CGGUUUCAAUCUGCUGCGGGCAAAUAAAAUGAAUAUGGGUAUCGAUGCCGCCGGCGGUCACGAUCAGGCCCUCGCCCGCAAUGACCUCCGUCGCGGCGCCGAUCACCAUAUUGGGGGCGACACCGUCCAUGAUAUCCGGAUUCCCCGCUUUGCCGAUCCCUUCGAUUUUUCCGUUUUUUAUCCCGAUAUCGGCUUUAAUGAUGCCGCUGUAAUCCACGAUGACGGCGUUGGUGAUCAGCAGGUCCAGCGCGCCCUCUUCCCCGGACCGGGAAGGGGACUGCCCCAUGCCGUCCCG
rnacentral:sRNA from 1 species